rnacentral:rRNA from 1 species
GAUGAACGCUGGCGGCGUGCCUAAUACAUGCAAGUCGAGCGAACAGACGAGGAGCUUGCUCCUCUGACGUUAGCGGCGGACGGGUGAGUAACACGUGGAUAACCUACCUAUAAGACUGGGAUAACUUCGGGAAACCGGAGCUAAUACCGUAUAAUAUAUUGAACCGCAUGGUUCAAUAGUGAAAGACGGUUUUGCUGUCACUUAUAGAUGGAUCCGCGCCGCAUUAGCUAGUUGGUAAGGUAACGGCUUACCAAGGCAACGAUGCGUAGCCGACCUGAGAGGGUGAUCGGCCACACUGGAACUGAGACACGGUCAAGACGCCUAAGGGAGGCAGCAGUAGGGAACCUUCCGCAAUGGGCGAAAGCCUGACGGAGCAACGCCGCGUGAGUGAUGAAGGUCUUCGGAUCGUAAAACUCUGUUAUUAGGGAAGAACAAAUGUGUAAGUAACUAUGCACGUCUUGACGGUACCGAAUCAGAAAGCCACGGCUAACUACGUG